rnacentral:rRNA from 1 species
GACGAACGCUGGCGGCGUGCUUAACACAUGCAAGUCGAACGGAAAGGCCCUGCUUUUGUGGGGUGCUCGAGUGGCGAACGGGUGAGUAACACGUGAGUAACCUGCCCUUGACUUUGGGAUAACUUCAGGAAACUGGGGCUAAUACCGGAUAGGAGCUCCUGCUGCAUGGUGGGGGUUGGAAAGUUUCGGCGGUUGGGGAUGGACUCGCGGCUUAUCAGCUUGUUGGUGGGGUAGUGGCUUACCAAGGCUUUGACGGGUAGCCGGCCUGAGAGGGUGACCGGCGACAUUGGGACUGAGAUACGGCCCAGACUCCUACGGGAGGCAGCAGUGGGGAAUAUUGCACAGUGGGCGGAAGCCUGAUGCGGCGACGCCGCGUGCGGGAUGACGGCCUUCGGGUUGUAAACCGCUUUCGCCUGUGACGAAGCGUGAGUGACGGUAAUGGGUAAAGAAGCACCGGCUAACUACGUG